rnacentral:rRNA from 1 species
ACUUCGGGGGGACGAUAACGGCGUCGAGCGGCGGACGGGUGAGUAAUGCCUAGGAAAUUGCCCUGAUGUGGGGGAUAACCAUUGGAAACGAUGGCUAAUACCGCAUGAUGCCUACGGGCCAAAGAGGGGGACCUUCGGGCCUCUCGCGUCAGGAUAUGCCUAGGUGGGAUUAGCUAGUUGGUGAGGUAAGGGCUCACCAAGGCGACGAUCCCUAGCUGGUCUGAGAGGAUGAUCAGCCACACUGGAACUGAGACACGGUCCAGACUCCUACGGGAGGCAGCAGUGGGGAAUAUUGCACAAUGGGCGCAAGCCUGAUGCAGCCAUGCCGCGUGUGUGAAGAAGGCCUUCGGGUUGUAAAGCACUUUCAGUCGUGAGGAAGGUAGUGUAGUUAAUAGCUGCAUUAUUUGACGUUAGCGACAGAAGAAGCACCGGCUAACUCCGUGCCAGCAGCCGCGGUAAUACGGAGGGUGCGAGCGUUAAUCGGAAUUACUGGGCGUAAAGCGCAUGCAGGUGGUUUGUUAAGUCAGAUGUGAAAGCCCGGGGCUCAACCUCGGAAUAGCAUUUGAAACUGGCAGACUAGAGUACUGUAGAGGGGGGUAGAAUUUCAGGUGUAGCGGUGAAAUGCGUAGAGAUCUGAAGGAAUACCGGUGGCGAAGGCGGCCCCCUGGACAGAUACUGAC